rnacentral:sRNA from 1 species
GUGGUGCAUGCAUGUAAUCCCAGCUACACAGGAAAUUGAGGGAAGAGAAUCACUUGAGCCCAGGAUUCCAAGACUUGCCUGCGCAACAUAAUGAGACCCUCUGUUUA